UUCUUUCAUCAGUUUGUUCCCUGUUUCUUCUCUAGCCUGAGCCUGACACACUAUUCUAGCUAGACAUGGGUGUGGCUCGUGACACCUGAUGACCAAAUGGAUCUACGGCACCGUCGAAUCUCAAACUUUAACUGCCAAAACUAUUGUUUUUCAUCCUGUAGUCCCUUUUAGAAUUACGAAACGUCCUUUUUUGGGCCAUGAUUUCCAGGAAUGCUUUCUCGGGGUUUGUGUGCACGUAUUUCAAACCAUACGGACCUAAAAAUUAGAAGUCAUUCCAUCUUUAUUCCCCUAGAGCCUUCCGGCAGUUCCUAAACUGCUCUAUUUGGAGCAUGUUAUCAUUCUUGUUAGUUCUGAGUGAAUUCCCUCGGUAUGAUCAUUCUUUCAUCAGUUUGUUCCCCGUUUCUUCUCUAGUCUGAGCCUAGCACACUAUUCUAGCUAUUAAUGGGUGUGGAUCGUAACACCUGAUGAGCAAACGGAUCUACGGCACCAUCGAAUCUCAAACUUUAACUGCCAAAACUAUUGUUUUUCAUUCUGUAGUCCCUUUUCGAAUUAUUAAACGUCCUUUUUUGGGCCGAGAUUUCCAGGAACGCUUUCUCGGGGUUUGUGUGCAUGUAUUUCAAAUCAUACGGACCUAAAAAUUAGAAGGCAUUCCAUCUUUAUUCCCCUAGAGACUUCCAGCAGUUCCUAAACCGCUCCAGUCGGAGCAUGUUAUCAUUCUUGUUAGUUCUGAGCGAAUUCCCUCGGUAUGAUCAUUCUAUCAUCUGUUUGUUCCCUGUUUCUUCGCUAGCCUAAGCCUGACACACUAUUCUAGGUAGACAUGGGUGUGGCUCGUGACACCUAAUGACCAAACGGAUCUACGGCACCCUCGAAUCUCAAACUUUAACUACCAAAACUAUUGUUUUUCAUUCUGUAGUCCCUUUUAGAUUACUAAACAUCCUUUUUUGGGCUGAGAUUUCCAGGAACGCUUUCUCGGGGUUUGUGUGCAUGUAUUUCAAACCAAACGUUCCUAAAAUUAGAAGUCAUUCCAUCUUAAUUCCCCUAGAGCCUUCUAGCAAUUCCUAAACAGCUCUAGUCGGAGCAUGUUAUCAUUCUUGUUAAUUCUGAGCGAAUUCCCUCCGUAUGAUCAUUCUUUCAUCAGUUUGUUCUCCGUUUCUGCUCUAGUCUGAGCCUAGCACACUAUUCUAGCUAUUAAUGGGUGUGGAUCGUAACACCUAAUGACCAAACGGAUCUACGACACCAUCGAAUCUCAAACUUUAACUGCCAAAACUAUUGUUUUUCAUCCUGUAGUCCCUUUUCGAAUUAUUAAACGUCCUUUUUUGGGCCGAGAUUUCCAGGAACGCUUUCUCGGGGUUUGUGUGGAUGUAUUUCAAAUCAUACGGACCUAAAAAUUAGAAGGCAUUCCAUCUUUAUUCCCCUAGAGCCUUCCAGCAGUUCCUANNNNNNNNNNNNNNNNNNNNNNNNNNNNNNNNNNNNNNNNNNNNNNNNNNNNNNNNNNNNNNNNNNNNNNNNNNNNNNNNNNNNNNNNNNNNNNNNNNNNNNNNUCGCUAGCCUAAGCCUGACACACUAUUCUAGCUACACAUGGGUGUGGCUCGUGACACCUAAUGACCAAACAGAUCUACGGCACCGUCGAAUCUCAAACUUUAACUACCAAAACUAUUGUUUUUCAUUCUGUAGUCCCUUUUAAAUUACUAAACGUCAUUUUUUGGGCCGAGAUUUCUAGGAACGCUUUCUCGGGGUUUGUGUGCAUGUAUUUCAAGUCAUAUGGACCUAAAAAUUAGAAUCCAUUCCAUCUUUAUUCCCCUAGAGCCUUCCAGCAGUUCCUAAACUGCUCCAGUCGGAGCACAUUAUCAUUAUUGUUAGUUCUGACUGAAUUCCCUCGGUAUGAUCAUUCUUUCAUCAGUUUGUUCCCCGUUUCUGCUCUACUCUGAGCUUAACACACUAUUCUAGCUAGGCAUGGGUGUGGCUCGUAACACCUGAUGACCAAACGGAUCUACGAUACCGUCGAAUCUCAAACUUUGACUACGAAAACUAUUGUUUUUCAUUCUAUAGUCCCUUUUAGAAUUACUAAACGUCCUUUUUUGGGCCGAGAUUUCCAGGAACGCUUUCUCGGGGUUUGUGUGCACGUAUUUCAAACAAUACGGACCUAAAAAUUAGAAUUCAUUCCAUCUUUAUUCCCCUAGAGCCUUCCAGCAGUUCCUAAACCGCUCUAGUCGGAGCACUUUAUCAUUCUUGUUAGUUCUCAGCGAAUUCCCUCGGUAUGAUCAUUCUUUCAUCAGUUUGUUCCCCAUUUCUUCUCUAGCCUGAGCCUAACACACUAUUCUAGCUACACAUGGGUGUGGCUCGUCACACCCGAUGACCAAACGGAUCUACGGCACCGUCGAAUCUCAAACUUUAACUGCCAAAACUAUUGUUUUUCAUCCUGUAGUCCCUUUUAGAAUUACUAAACGUCCUUUUUUGGGUAGAUAUUUCUAGGAACGCUUUAUCGGGGUUUGUGUGCACGUAUUUCAGACCAUACGGACCUAAAAAUUAGAAGUCAUUCCAUCUUUAUUCCCCUAUAGCCUUCCAGCAGUUCCUAAACCGCUCCAGUCGGAGCCCGUUAUCAUUCUUGUUAGUUUUGAGCGAAUUCCCUCGGUAUGAUCAUUCUUUCAUCAGUUUGUUCCCCGUUUCUUCUCUAGUCUAAGCCUAGCACACUAGUUUAGCUAGACAUGGGUGUGGCUCGUAACACCUGAUGGCCAAACGGAUCUACGGCACCGUGAAAUCUCAAACUUUAACUGCCAAAACUAUUGUUUUUCAUCCUGUAGUCCCUUUUAGAAUUACUAAACGUCCUUUUUUGGGCUGAGAUUUCCAGGAACACUUUCUCGGGGUUUGUGUGCAUGUAUUUCAAACCAUAUGGACCUAAAAAUUAGAAGUCAUUCCAUCUUUAUUCCCCUAGAGCCUUCCAACAGUCCCUAAACCGCUCCAGUCCGAGCAUGUUAUCAUUCUUGUUAGUUCUGAGUGAAUUCCCUCGGUAUGAUCAUUCUUUCAUCAGUUUGUUCCCCAUUUCUUCUCUAGUCUGAGCCUAGCUCACUAUUCUAGCUAGACAUGGGUGUGGCUCAUAAUACCUGAUGACCAAACGGAUCUACGGCACCAUCGAAUCUCAAACUUUAACUGCCAAAACAAUUGUUUUUCAUCCUGUAGUCCCUUUUAGAAUUACUAAACGUCCUUUUUUGGGCCGAGAUUUCCAGGAACGCUUUCUCGGGGUUUGUGUGCACGUAUUUCAAACCAAGCGUUCUUAAAAAUUAGAAGUCAUUCCAUCUUUAUUCCCCUAGAGCCUUACAGCAGUUCCUAAACUGCUCCAGUCGGCGCACGUUAUCAUUCUUGUUAGUUCUGAGCGAAUUCCCUCGGUAUGAUCAUUCUUUCAUCAGUUUGUUCCCCGUUUCUUCUCUAGUUUGAGCCUAGCACACUAUUCUAGCUAGACAUGGGUGUGGGUCAUAACACCUGAUGACCAAACAGAUCGACGACACCAUCGAAUCUCAAACUUUAACUGCCAAAACUAUUGUUUUUCAUCCUGUAGUCCCUUUUAGAAUUACUAAACGUCCUUUUUUGGGUCGAGAUUUCCAAGAAAGCUUUCUCGGGCUUUGUGUGCACGUAUUUCAAACCAAAAAUUUCUAAAAAUUAGAAGUCAUUCCAUCUUUAUUCCCCUAGAGCCUUCCAGCAGUUCCUAAACAGCUCCAGUCGGAGCACGUUAUCAUUCUUGUUAGUUCUGAGCGAAUUCCCUCGGUAUGAUCAUUCUUUCAUCAGUUUGUUCCCCGUUUCUUCUAUAGUCUGAGCCUAUCACACUAUUCUAGCUAGACAUGGGUGUGGCUCGUAACACCUGAUGACCAAACGGAUCUACGGCACCAUCGAAUCUAAAACUUUAACUGCCAAAACUAUUGUUUUUCAUCCUGUAGUCCCUUUAGAACUACUAAAUGUCCUUUUUUGGGCCAAGAUUUCCAGGAACGCUUUCUCGGGGUUUGUGUGCAUGUAUUUCAAACCAUACGGACCUAAAAAUUAGGUCAUUCCAUCUUUAUUCCCCUAGAGCCUUCCAGCAGUUCCUAAACCGCUCCAGUCGGAGCAUGUUAUCAUUCUUGUUUGUUCUGAGUGAAUUCCCUCAGUAUGAUCAUUCUUUCAUCAUUUUGUUCCCCGUUUCUUCUCUAGUCUGAGCCUAGCACACUAUUCUAGCUAGACAUGGGUGUGGCUCGUAACACCUGACCAAACGGAUCUACGGCACCGUCGAAUCUCAAACUUUAACUGCCAAAACUAUUGUUUUUCAUCCUGUAGUCCCUUUUAAAUUUAAUAAACGUCCUUUUUUGGGCUGAGAUUUCCAGGAACGCUUUCGUGCGGUUUGUGUGCAAGUAUUUCAAAUCAUACAGACCUAUAAAUUAGAAGUCAUUUCAUCUUUAUUCCCCUAGAGCCUUCGAGCGGUUCCUAAACCGCUCAAGUCGGAGCAUGUUAUCAUUCUUGUUAGUUCUGAGUGAAUUCCCUCGGUAUGAUCAUUCUUUCAUCAGUUUGUUCCCCGUUCCUUCUCUAGUCUGAGCCUAGCACACUACUCUAGCUAGACAUGGGUUUGGCUCGUAACACCUGAUAACCAAACGGGUCUACGACACCAUCGAAUCUCAAACUUUUUUGGGCCAAGAUUUGCAGGAACGCUUUCUCGGGGUUUGUGUGCACGUAUUUCAAAUCAUGCGGACCUAAAAAUUAGAAGUCAUUCCAUAUUUGUUCCCCUAGAGCCUUCCAGCAGUUCCUAAACCGCUCCAGUUGGACCACGUUAUCAUUCUUGUUAGUUCUGAGUGAAUUACCUCGGUAUGAUCAUUCUUUCAUAAGUUUGUUCCCCGUUUCUUCUAUAGUCUGAGCCUAGCACACUACUCUAGCUAGACAUGGGAGUGGCUCGUAACACCUGAUGACCAAACAGAUCUAUGGCACCGUCGAAUCUCAAACUUUAACUGCCAAAACUAUUGUUUUUCAUCCUGUAGUCCCUUUUAGAAUUACUAAACGUCAUUUUUUGGGCUGAGAUUUCCAGGAACGCUUUCGCGGGGUUUGUGUGCACGUAUUUCAAACCAUAGGGACCUAAAAAUUAGAAGUCAUUCCAUCUUUAUUCCCCUAGAGCCUAACACACUAUUCUAGCUAGACAUGGGUGUGGCUCGUAACACCUGAUGACAAAACGGAUCUACGGCACCAUCGAAUCUCAAACUUUAACUGCCAAAAUUAUUGUAUUUCAUCCUGUAGUCCCUUUUAGAAUUAUUAAACGUCCUUUUUUUGGGCUGUGAUUUCCAUGAACGCUUUCUCGGGGUUUCUGUGCACGUAUUUCAAAUCAUACGGACCUAAAAAUUAGAAGUCAUUCCAUCUUUAUUCCCCUAGAGCCUUCCAACAGUUCCUAAACCGCUCCAGUCGGAGCACAUUAUCAUUCUUGUUAGUUCUGAGUGAAUUCCCAUGGUAUGAUCAUUCUUUCAUUAGUUUGUUCCCCGUUUCUUCUCUAGUCUGAGCCUACCACACUAUUCUAGCUAGACAUGGGUGUGGCUCAUAACACCUUAUGACCAAACGGAUCUACGGCACCAUCGAAUCUCAAACUUUAACCGCCAAAACUAUUGUUUUUCAUCAUGUAGUCCCUUUUAGAAUUACUAAACGUCCUUCUUUGGGCAGAGAUUUCCAGGAAUGCUUUAUCGGGGUUUGUGUGCACGUAUUUCAGACCAUACGGACCUAAAAAUUAGAAGUCAUUCCAUCUUUAUUCCCCUAGAGCCUUCCAAUAGUUCCUGAACCGCUCCAGUCGGAGCAUGUUAUCAUUCUUGUUAGUUCUGAGCGAAUUCCCUCGGUAUGAUCAUUCUUUCAUCAGUUUGUUUCCCGUUUCUUCUCUAGUCUGAGCCUAGCACACUACUCUAGCUAGACAUUGGUGUGGCUCGUAACACCUGAUGACCAAACGGAUCUACGGCACUGUCAAAUCUCAAACUUUAACUGCCAAAACUAUUGUUUUUCAUCCUGUAGUCCCUUUUAGAAUUACUAAACGUCCUUUUUUGGGCCGAUAUUUCCAGGAACGCUUUCUUGGGGUUUGUGUGCAUGUAUUUCAAACCAUAUGGAACUAAAAAUUACAAGUCAUUCCAUCUUUAUUCCCCUAGAGCCUUCCAGCAGUUCCUAAACCGCUCCAAUCGGAGCAUGUUAUCAUUCUUGUUAAUUCUGAGUGAAUUCCCUUGGUAUGAUCAUUCUUUCAUCAGUUUGUUCCCGAUUUCUUCUCCAGUCUGAGCCUAGCUCACUAUUCUAGCUAGACAUGGGUGUGGCUCAUAAUACCUGAUGACCAAACGGAUCUACGACACCAUCGAAUCUCAAACUUUAACUGCCAAAACUAUUGUUUUUCAUCUUGUAGUCCCUUUUAGAAUUACUAAACGUCCUUUUGUGGGCUGAGAUUUCCAGGAACGCUUUAUCGGGGUUUGUGUGCUCGUAUUUCAGACCAUACGGACCUAAAAAUUAGAACUCAUUCCAUCUUUAUUCCCCUAGAGCCUUCCAGCAGCUCCUAAACCGCUCCAGUCGAGCACGUUAUCAUUCUUGUUAGUUCUGAGCAAAUUCCCUCGUUAUGAUCAUUCUUUCAUCAGUUUGUUCCCCGUUUCUUCUCUGGUCUGAGCCUAGCACACUAUUCUAGCUAUUAAUGGGUGUGGAUCGUAACACUUGAUGAUCAAACAGAUCUACGGCACCAUCGAUUCUCAAACUUUAACUGCCAAAACUAUUGUUUUUCAUCCUGUAGUCCCUUUUAGAAUUAUUAAACGUCCUUUUUUGGGCCGAGAUUUCUAGGAACGCUGUCUCGGGGUUUGUGUGCACGUAUUUCUAAUCAUACGGACCUAAAAAUUAGAAGUCAUUCCAUAUUUAUUCCCCUAGAGCCUUCCAGCAGUUCCUAAACCGCUCAAGUCGGAGCACGUUAUCAUUCUUGUUAGUUCUUAGCGAAUUCCCUCGAUAUGAUCAUUCUUUCAUCAGUUUGUUCCCCGUUUCUUCUCUAGCCUGAGCCCGACACACUAUUCUAGCUAGACAUGGGUGUGGCUCGUAACACCUAAUGACCAAACGGAUCUACGGCACCGUUGAAUCUCAAACUUUAACAGCCAAAAUUAUUGUUUUUCAUUAUGUAGUCUCUUUUAAAUUACUAAACGUCAUUUUUUGAGCUGAGAUAUCCAGGAACGCUUUCUCGGGGUUUUUGUGCACGUAUUUCAAAUCAUACGGACCUGAAAAUUAGAAGUCAUUCCAUCUUUAUUCCCCUAGAGCCUUCCAGCAGUUCCUAAACCGCUCCAGUUGGACCACGUUAUCAUUCUUGUUAGUUCUGAGUGAAUUACCUUAGUAUGAUCAUUCUUUCAUCAGUUUGUUCCCUGUUUCUUCUAUAGUCUGAGCCUAGCACACUACUCUAGCUAGACAUGGGUGUGGCUCGUAACACCUGAUGACCAAACAGAUCUACGGCACCGUCGAAUCUCAAACUUUAACUGCCAAAACUAUUGUUUUUCAUCCUGUAGACCCUUUUAGAAUUACUAAACGUCCUUUUUUGGGCUGAGAUUUCCGGGAACGCUUUCACGGGGUUUGUGUGCACGUAUUUUAAACCAUAUGGACCUAAAAAUUAGAAGUCAUUCCAUCUUUAUUCCCAUAGAGCCUAACACACUAUUCUAGCUAGAUAUGGGUGUGGCUCGUAACACCUGAUGACCAAACGGAUCUACGGCACCAUCGAAUCUCAAACUUUAACUGCCAAAACUAUUGUAUUUCAUCAUGUAGUCCCUUUUAGAAUUAUUAAACGUCCUUUUUUAGGGCCGUGAUUUCCAUGAACGCUUUCUUGGGGUUUCUGUGCAUGUAUUUCAAAUCAUACGGACCUAAAAAUUAGAAGUCAUUCCAUCUUUAUUCCCCUAGAGCCUUCCAGCAGUUCCUAAACCGCUUCAGUCGGAGCACGUUAUCAUUCUUGUUAGUUCUGAGUGAAUUCCCUUGGUAUGAUCAUUCUUUCAUCAGUUUGUUCCCCGUUUCUUCUCUAGUCUGAGCCUAGCACACUAUUCUAGCUAGACAUGGGUGUGGCUCAUAACACCUCAUGACCAAACGGAUCUACGGCACCAUCGAAUCUCAAACUUUAACUGCCAAAACUAUUGUUUUUCAUCCUGUAGUCCCUUUUAGAAUUACUAAACGUCCUUUUUUGGGCAGAUAUUUCCAGGAACGCUUUAUCGGGGUUUGUGUGCUCGUAUUUCAGACCAUACGGACCUAAAAAUUAGAACUCAUUCCAUCUUUAUUCCCCUAUAGCCUUCCAGCAAUUCCGAAACCACUCUAUUCGGAGCACGUUAUCAUUCUUGUUAGUUCUAAAAGAAUUCCCUCGGUAUGAUCAUUCUUUCAUCAGUUUAUUUCCCGUUUCUUCUCUAGUCUAAGCCUAGCACACUAGUCUAGCUAGACAUGGGUGUGGCUCGUAACACCUGAUGACCAAACGGAUCUACGGCACCGUCAAAUCUCAAACUUUAACUGCCAAAACUAUUGUUUUUCAUCCUGUAGUCCCUUUAGAAUUACAAAAGGUCCUUUUUUGGGCCGAGAUUUCCAGGAACACUUUCUCGGGGGUUUGUGUGCAUGUAUUUCAAACCAUAUGGACCUAAAAAUUAGAAGUCAUUCCAUCUUUAUUCCCCUAGAGCCUUCCAGCAGUUCCUAAACCGCUCCAGUCGGAGCAUGUUAUCAUUCUUGUUAGUUCUGAGUGAAUUCCCUCGGUAUGAUCAUUCUUUCAUCAGUUUGUUCCCCAUUUCUUCUCUAGUCUGAGCCUAGCUCACUAUUCUAGCUAGACAUGGGUGUGGCUCGUAAUACCUGAUGACCAAAUGGAUCUACGGCACCAUCGAAUCUCAAACUUUUACUGCCAAAACUAUUGUUUUUCAUCCUGUAGUCCCUUUUAGAAUUACUAAACGUCCUUUUUUGGGCUGAGAUUUCCAGGAACGCUUUCUUGGGGUUUGUGUGCACGUAUUUCAAACCAAGCGUUCCUAAAAAUUAGAAGUCAUUCCAUCUUUAUUCCCCUAGAGCCUUACAGCAGUUCCUAAACUGCUCCAGUCGGCGCACGUUAUCAUUCUUGUUAGUUCUGAGUGAAUUCCCUCGGUAUGAUCAUUCUUUCAUCAGUUUGUUCCCCGUUUCUUCUCUAGUCUGAGCCUACCACACUAUUCUAGCUAGACAUGGGUGUGGCUCAUAACACCUUAUGACCAAACGGAUCUACGGCACCAUCGAAUCUCAAACUUUAACUGCCAAAACUAUUGUUUUUCAUCCUGUAGUCCCUUUUAGAAUUACUAAACGUCCUUUUUUGGGCAGAUAUUUCCAGGAAUGCUUUAUCGGGGUUUGUGUGCACGUAUUUCAGACCAUACGGACCUAAAAAUUAGAAGUCAUUCCAUCUUUAUUCCCCUAUAGCCUUCCACCAGUUCCUAAACCACUCCAGUCGGAGCACGUUAUCAUUCUUGUUAGUUCUGAGCGAAUUCCCUCGGUAUGAUCAUUCUUUCAUCAGUUUAUUCCCCGUUUCUUCUCUAGUCUAAGCCUAGCACACUAGUCUAGCUAGACAUGGGUGUGGCUCGUAACACCUGAUGACCAAACGGAUCUACGGCACCGUCAAAUCUCAAACUUUAACUGCCAAAACUAUUGUUUUUCAUCCUGUAGUCCCUUUUAGAAUAACUAAACGUCCUUUUUUGGGCCGAGAUUUCCGGGAACACUUUCUCGGGGUUUGUGUGCAUGUAUUUCAAACCAUAUGGACCUAAAAAUUAGAAGUCAUUCCAUCUUUAUUCCCCUAGAGCCUUCCAGCAGUUCCUAAACCGCUCCAGUCGGAGCAUGUUAUCAUUCUUGUUAGUUCUGAGUGAAUUCCCUCGGUACGAUCAUUCUUUCAUCAGUUUGUUCCCCGUUUCUUCUCUAGUCUGAGCCUAGCUCACUAUUCUAGCUAGACAUGGGUGUGGCUCAUAAUACCUGAUGACCAAACGGAUCUACGGCACUAUCGAAUCUCAAACUUUAACUGCCAAAACUAUUGUUUUUCAUCCUGUAGUCCCUUUUAGAAUUACUAAACGUCCUUUUUUGGGCCGAGAUUUCCAGGAACGCUUUCUUGGGGUUUGUGUGCAUGUAUUUCAAACCAAGCGUUCCUAAAAAUUAGAAGUCAUUCCAUCUUUAUUCCCCUAGAGCCUUACAGCAGUUCCUAAACUGCUCCAGUCGGCGCACGUUAUCAUUCUUGUUAGUUCUGAGCGAAUUCCCUCGGUAUGAUCAUUCUUUCAUCAGUUUGUUCCCCAUUUCUUCUCUAGUUUGAGCCUAGCACACUAUUCUAGCUAGACAUGGGUGUGGGUCAUAACACCUGAUGACCAAACAGAUCGACGACACCAUCGACUCUCAAACUUUAACUGCCAAAACUAUUGUUUUUCAUCCUGUAGUCCCUUUUAGAAUUACUAAACGUCCUUUUUUGGGCCGAGAUUUCCAAGAACGCUUUCUCGGGGUUUGUGUGCACGUAUUUCAAACCAAACAUUCCUAAAAAUUAGAAGUCAUUCCAUCUUUAUUCCCCUAGAGCCUUCCAGUAGUUCCUAAACAGCUCCAGUCGGAGGACGUUAUCAUUCUUGUUAGUUCUGAGUGAAUUCCCUCGGUAUGAUCAUUCUUUCAUCAGUUUGUUCCCUGUUUCUUCUCUAGUAUGAGCCUCGCACACUAUUCUAGCUAUUAAUGGGUGUGGAUCGUAACACCUGAUGACCAAACGGAUCUACGGCACCAUCGAAUAUCAAACUUUAACUGCCAAAACUAUUGUUUUUCAUUCUGUAGUCCCUUUUAAAUUACUAAAUGUCAUUUUUGGGCUGAGAUAUCCAGGAACGCUUUCUCGGGGUUUGUGUGCAUGUAUUUCAAAUCAUACGGACCUAAAAAUUAGAAGUCAUUCCAUCUUUAUUCCCCUAGAGCCUUCCAGCAGUUCCUAAACCACUCCAGUCGGAACACGUUGUCAUUAUUGUUAGUUCUGAGUGAAUUCCCUCGGUAUGAUCAUUCUUUCAUCAGUUUUUUCCCCGUUUCUUCUAUAGUCUGAGCCUAUCACACUAUUCUAGCUAGACAUGGGUGUGGCACGUAACACCUGAUGACCAAACGGAUCUACGGCACCGUCGAAUCUCAAACUUUAACUGCCAAAACUAUUGUUUUUCAUCCUGUUGUCCCUUUAGAAUUACUAAAUGUCCUUUUUUGGGCCGAGAUUUCCAGGAACGCUUUCUCGGGAUUUGUGUGCAUGUAUUUCAAACCAUACGGACCUACAAAUUAGGUCAUUCCAUCUUUAUUCCCCUAGAGCCUUCCAGCAGUUCCUAAACUGCUCCAGUCGGAGCACGUUAUCAUUCUUGUUUGUUCUCAGCGAAUUCCCUCGGUAUGAUCAUUCUUUCAUCAUUUUGUUCCCCGUUUCUUCUCUAGUCUAAGCCUAGCACACUAUUCUAGCUACACAUGGGUGUGGCUCGUAACACCUGAUGACCAAACGGAUCUACGGCACCGUCGAAUCUCAAACUUUAACUGCCAAAACUAUUGUUUUUCAACCUAUAGUCCCUUUUAAAUUUACUAAACGUCCUUUUUUGGGCUGAGAUUUCCAGGAACGCUUUCGUGCGGUUUGUGUGCAAGUAUUUGAAAUCAUACGGACCUAUAAAUUAGAAGUCAUUUCAUCUUUAUUCCCCUAGAGCCUUCGAGCGGUUCCUAAACCGCUCCAGUCGGAGCAUGUUAUCGUUCUUGUUAGUUCUGAGUGAAUUCCCUCGGUAUGAUCAUUCUUUCAUCAGUUUGUUCCCCAUUUCUUCUCUAGUCUGAGCCUAGCACACUACUCUAGCUAGACAUGGGUUUGGCUUGUAACACCUGAUAACCAAACGGGUCUACGACACCAUCGAAUCUCAAACUUUUUUGGGCCGAGAUUUCCAGGAACGCUUUCUCGGGGUUUGUGUGCACGUAUUUCAAAUCAUGCGGACCUAAAAAUUAGAAGUCAUUCCAUAUUUAUUCCCCUAGAGCCUUCCAGCAGUUCCCAAACCGCUCCAGUCGGAGCAUGUUAUCAUUCUUGUUAGUUCUGAGCGAGUUCCCUCGGUAUGAUCAUUCUUUCAUCAGUUUGUUCCCUGUUUCUUCUCUAGCCUGAGCCUGACACACUAUUAUAGCUAGACAUGGGUGUGGCUCGUGACACCUGAUGACCAAAUGGAUCUACGGCACCGUCGAAUCUCAAACUUUAACUGCCAAAACUAUUGUUUUUCAUCCUGUAGUCCCUUUUAGAAUUACGAAACGUCCUUUUUUGGGCCAUGAUUUCCAGGAAUGCUUUCUUGGGGUUUGUGUGCACGUAUUUCAAACCAUACGGACCUAAAAAUUAGAAGUCAUUCCAUCUUUAUUCCCCUAGAGCCUUCCAGCAGUUCCUAAACUGCUCUAUUUGGAGCAUGUUAUCAUUCUUGUUAGUUCUGAGUGAAUUCCCUCGGUAUGAUCAUUCUUUCAUCAGUUUGUUCCCCGUUUCUUCUCUAGUCUGAGCCUAGCACACUAUUCUAGCUAUUAAUGGGUGUGGAUCGUAACACCUGAUGAGCAAACGGAUCUACGGCACAAUCGAAUCUCAAACUUUAACUGCCAAAACUAUUGUUUUUCAUUCUGUAGUCCCUUUUCGAAUUAUUAAACGUCCUUUUUUGGGCCGAGAUUUCCAGGAACGCUUUCUCGGGGUUUGUGUGCAUGUAUUUCAAAUCAUACGGACCUAAAAAUUAGAAGGCAUUCCAUCUUUAUUCCCCUAGAGCCUUCCAGCAGUUCCUAAACCGCUCCAGUCGGAGCAUGUUAUCAUUCUUGUUAGUUCUGAGCGAAUUCCCUCGGUAUGAUCAUUCUAUCAUCUGUUUGUUCCCUGUUUCUUCGCUAGCCUAAGCCUGACACACUAUUCUAGCUAGACAUGGGUGUGGCUCGUGACACCUAAUGACCAAACGGAUCUACGGCACCCUCGAAUCUCAAACUUUAACUACCAAAACUAUUGUUUUUCAUUCUGUAGUCCCUUUUAGAUUACUAAACAUCCUUUUUUGGGCUGAGAUUUCCAGGAACGCUUUCUCGGGGUUUGUGUGCAUGUAUUUCAAACCAAACGUUCCUAAAAUUAGAAGUCAUUCCAUCUUAAUUCCCCUAGAGCCUUCUAGCAAUUCCUAAACAGCUCUAGUCGGAGCAUGUUAUCAUUCUUGUUAAUUCUGAGCGAAUUCCCUCCGUAUGAUCAUUCUUUCAUCAGUUUGUUCCCCGUUUCUUCUCUAGUCUAAGCCUAGCACACUAGUCUAGCUAGACAUGGGUGUGGCUCGUAACACCUGAUGACCAAACGGAUCUACGGCACCGUCAAAUGUCAAACUUUAACUGCCAAAACUAUUGUUUUUCAUCCUGUAGUCCCUUUUCGAAUUAUUAAACGUCCUUUUUUGGGCCGAGAUUUCCAGGAACGCUUUCUCGGGGUUUGUGUGGAUGUAUUUCAAAUCAUACGGACCUAAAAAUUAGAAGGCAUUCCAUCUUUAUUCCCCUAGAGCCUUCCAGCAGUUCCUANNNNNNNNNNNNNNNNNNNNNNNNNNNNNNNNNNNNNNNNNNNNNNNNNNNNNNNNNNNNNNNNNNNNNNNNNNNNNNNNNNNNNNNNNNNNNNNNNNNNNNNNNNNNNNNNNNNNNNNNNNNNNNNNNNNNNNNNNNNNNNNNNNNNNNNNNNNNNNNNNNNNNNNNNNNNNNNNNNNNNNNNNNNNNNNNNNNNNNNNNNNNNNNNNNNNNNNNNNNNNNNNNNNNNNNNNNNNNNNNNNNNNNNNNNNNNNNNNNNNNNNNNNNNNNNNNNNNNNNNNNNNNNNNNNNNNNNNNNNNNNNNNNNNNNNNNNNNNNNNNNNNNNNNNNNNNNNNNNNNNNNNNNNNNNNNNNNNNNNNNNNNNNNNNNNNNNNNNNNNNNNNNNNNNNNNNNNNNNNNNNNNNNNNNNNNNNNNNNNNNNNNNNNNNNNNNNNNNNNNNNNNNNNNNNNNNNNNNNNNNNNNNNNNNNNNNNNNNNNNNNNNNNNNNNNNNNNNNNNNNNNNNNNNNNNNNNNNNNNNNNNNNNNNNNNNNNNNNNNNNNNNNNNNNNNNNNNNNNNNNNNNNNNNNNNNNNNNNNNNNNNNNNNNNNNNNNNNNNNNNNNNNNNNNNNNNNNNNNNNNNNNNNNNNNNNNNNNNNNNNNNNNNNNNNNNNNNNNNNNNNNNNNNNNNNNNNNNNNNNNNNNNNNNNNNNNNNNNNNNNNNNNNNNNNNNNNNNNNNNNNNNNNNNNNNNNNNNNNNNNNNNNNNNNNNNNNNNNNNNNNNNNNNNNNNNUCGCUAGCCUAAGCCUGACACACUAUUCUAGCUACACAUGGGUGUGGCUCGUGACACCUAAUGACCAAACAGAUCUACGGCACCGUCGAAUCUCAAACUUUAACUACCAAAACUAUUGUUUUUCAUUCUGUAGUCCCUUUUAAAUUACUAAACGUCAUUUUUUGGGCCGAGAUUUCUAGGAACGCUUUCUCGGGGUUUGUGUGCAUGUAUUUCAAGUCAUAUGGACCUAAAAAUUAGAAUCCAUUCCAUCUUUAUUCCCCUAGAGCCUUCCAGCAGUUCCUAAACUGCUCCAGUCGGAGCACAUUAUCAUUAUUGUUAGUUCUGAGUGAAUUCCCUCGGUAUGAUCAUUCUUUCAUCAGUUUGUUCCCCGUUUCUGCUCUACUCUGAGCUUAACACACUAUUCUAGCUAGACAUGGGUGUGGCUCGUAACACCUGAUGACCAAACGGAUCUACGAUACCGUCGAAUCUCAAACUUUGACUACGAAAACUAUUGUUUUUCAUUCUAUAGUCCCUUUUAGAAUUACUAAACGUCCUUUUUUGGGCCGAGAUUUCUAGGAACGCUUUCUCGGGGUUUGUGUGCACGUAUUUCAAACAAUACGGACCUAAAAAUUAGAAUUCAUUCCAUCUUUAUUCCCCUAGAGCCUUCCAGCAGUUCCUAAACCGCUCAAGUCGGAGCACUUUAUCAUUCUUGUUAGUUCUCAGCGAAUUCCCUCGGUAUGAUCAUUCUUUCAUCAGUUUGUUCCCCAUUUCUUCUCUAGCCUGAGCCUAACACACUAUUCUAGCUACACAUGGGUGUGGCUCGUCACACCCGAUGACCAAACGGAUCUACGGCACCGUCGAAUCUCAAACUUUAACUGCCAAAACUAUUGUUUUUCAUCCUGUAGUCCCUUUUAGAAUUACUAAACGUCCUUUUUUGGGUAGAUAUUUCCAGGAACGCUUUAUCGGGGUUUGUGUGCACGUAUUUCAGACCAUACGGACCUAAAAAUUAGAAGUCAUUCCAUCUUUAUUCCCCUAUAGCCUUCCAGCAGUUCCUAAACCGCUCCAGUCGGAGCCCGUUAUCAUUCUUGUUAGUUUUGAGCGAAUUCCCUCGGUAUGAUCAUUCUUUCAUCAGUUUGUUCCCCGUUUCUUCUCUAGUCUAAGCCUAGCACACUAGUUUAGCUAGACAUGGGUGUGGCUCGUAACACCUGAUGGCCAAACGGAUCUACGGCACCGUGAAAUCUCAAACUUUAACUGCCAAAACUGUUGUUUUUCAUCCUGUAGUCCCUUUUAGAAUUACUAAACGUCCUUUUUUGGGCUGAGAUUUCCAGGAACACUUUCUCGGGGUUUGUGUGCAUGUAUUUCAAACCAUAUGGACCUAAAAAUUAGAAGUCAUUCCAUCUUUAUUCCCCUAGAGCCUUCCAACAGUCCCUAAACCGCUCCAGUCCGAGCAUGUUAUCAUUCUUGUUAGUUCUGAGUGAAUUCCCUCGGUAUGAUCAUUCUUUCAUCAGUUUGUUCCCCAUUUCUUCUCUAGUCUGAGCCUAGCUCACUAUUCUAGCUAGACAUGGGUGUGGCUUAUAAUACCUGAUGACCAAACGGAUCUACGGCACCAUCGAAUCUCAAACUUUAACUGCCAAAACUAUUGUUUUUCAUCCUGUAGUCCCUUUUAGAAUUACUAAACGUCCUUUUUUGGGCCGAGAUUUCCAGGAACGCUUUCUCGGGGUUUGUGUGCACGUAUUUCAAACCAAGCGUUCUUAAAAAUUAGAAGUUAUUCCAUCUUUAUUCCCCUAGAGCCUUACAGCAGUUCCUAAACUGCUCCAAUCGGCGCACGUUAUCAUUCUUGUUAGUUCUGAGCGAAUUCCCUCGGUAUGAUCAUUCUUUCAUCAGUUUGUUCCCCGUUUCUUCUCUAGUUUGAGCCUAGCACACUAUUCUAGCUAGACAUGGGUGUGGGUCAUAACACCUGAUGACCAAACAGAUCGACGACACCAUCGAAUCGCAAACUUUAACUGCCAAAACUAUUGUUUUUCAUCCUGUAGUCCCUUUUAGAAUUACUAAACGUCCUUUUUUGGGUCGAGAUUUCCAAGAACGCUUUCUCGGGGUUUGUGUGCACGUAUUUCAAACCAAAAAUUCCUAAAAAUUAGAAGUCAUUCCAUCUUUAUUCCCCUAGAGCCUUCCAGCAGUUCCUAAACAGCUCUAGUCGGAGCACGUUAUCAUUCUUGUUAGUUCUGAGCGAAUUCCCUCGGUAUGAUCAUUCUUUCAUCAGUUUGUUCCCCGUUUCUUCUAUAGUCUGAGCCUAUCACACUAUUCUAGCUAGACAUGGGUGUGGCUCGUAACACCUGAUGACCAAACGGAUCUACGGCACCAUCAAAUCUAAAACUUUAACUGCCAAAACUAUUGUUUUUCAUCCUGUAGUCCCUUUAGAACUACUAAAUGUCCUUUUUUGGGCCGAUAUUUCCAGGAACGCUUUCUCGGGGUUUGUGUGCAUGUAUUUCAAACCAUACGGACCUAAAAAUUAGGUCAUUCCAUCUUUAUUCCCCUAGAGCCUUCCAGCAGUUCCUAAACCGCUCCAGUCGGAGCAUGUUAUCAUUCUUGUUUGUUCUGAGUGAAUUCCCUCAGUAUGAUCAUUCUUUCAUCAUUUUGUUCCCCGUUUCUUCUCUAGUCUGAGCCUAGCACACUAUUCUAGCUAGACAUGGGUGUGGCUCGUAACACCUGACCAAACGGAUCUACGGCACCGUCGAAUCUCAAACUUUAACUGCCAAAACUAUUGUUUUUCAUCCUGUAGUCCCUUUUAAAUUUAAUAAACGUCCUUUUUUUGGGCUGAGAUUUCCAGGAACGCUUUCGUGCGGUUUGUGUGCAAGUAUUUCAAAUCAUACAGACCUAUAAAUUAGAAGUCAUUUCAUCUUUAUUCCCCUAGAGCCUUCGAGCGGUUCCUAAACCGCUCAAGUCGGAGCAUGUUAUCAUUCUUGUUAGUUCUGAGUGAAUUCCCUCGGUAUGAUCAUUCUUUCAUCAGUUUGUUCCCCAUUCCUUCUCUAGUCUGAGCCUAGCACACUACUCUAGCUAGACAUGGGUUUGGCUCGUAACACCUGAUAACCAAACGGGUCUACGACACCAUCGAAUCUCAAACUUUUUUGGGCCAAGAUUUCCAGGAACGCUUUCUCGGGGUUUGUGUGCACGUAUUUCAAAUCAUGCGGACCUAAAAAUUAGAAGUCAUUCCAUAUUUAUUCCCCUAGAGCCUUCCAGCAGUUCCUAAACCGCUCCAGUUGGACCACGUUAUCAUUCUUGUUAGUUCUGAGUGAAUUACCUCGGUAUGAUCAUUCUUUCAUCAGUUUGUUCCCCGUUUCUUCUAUAGUCUGAGCCUAGCACACUACUCUAGCUAGACAUGGGAGUGGCUCGUAACACCUGAUGACCAAACAGAUCUAUGGCACCGUCGAAUCUCAAACUUUAACUACCAAAACUAUUGUUUUUCAUCCUGUAGUCCCUUUUAGAAUUACUAAAUGUCAUUUUUUGGGCUGAGAUUUCCAGGAACGCUUUCGCGGGGUUUGUGUGCACGUAUUUCAAACCAUAGGGACCUAAAAAUUAGAAGUCAUUCCAUCUUUAUUCCCCUAGAGCCUAACACACUAUUCUAGCUAGACAUGGGUGUGGCUCGUAACACCUGAUGACCAAACGGAUCUACGGCACCAUCGAAUCUCAAACUUUAACUGCCAAAAUUAUUGUAUUUCAUCCUGUAGUCCCUUUUAGAAUUAUUAAACGUCCUUUUUUUGGGCUGUGAUUUCCAUGAACGCUUUCUCGGGGUUUCUGUGCACGUAUUUCAAAUCAUACAGACCUAAAAAUUAGAAGUCAUUCCAUCUUUAUUCCCCUAGAGCCUUCCAACAGUUCCUAAACCGCUCCAGUCGGAGCACAUUAUCAUUCUUGUUAGUUCUGAGUGAAUUCCCAUGGUAUGAUCAUUCUUUCAUUAGUUUGUUCCCCGUUUCUUCUCUAGUCUGAGCCUACCACACUAUUCCAGCUAGACAUGGGUGUGGCUCAUAACACCUUAUGACCAAACGGAUCUACGGCACCAUCGAAUCUCAAACUUUAACCGCCAAAACUAUUGUUUUUCAUCCUGUAGUCCCUUUUAGAAUUACUAAACGUCCUUCUUUGGGUAGAGAUUUCCAGGAAUGCUUUAUCGGGGUUUGUGUGCACGUAUUUCAGACCAUACGGACCUAAAAAUUAGAAGUCAUUCCAUCUUUAUUCCCCUAGAGCCUUCCAACAGUUCCUGAACCGCUCCAGUCGGAGCAUGUUAUCAUUCUUGUUAGUUCUGAGCGAAUUCCCUCGGUAUGAUCAUUCUUUCAUCAGUUUGUUUCCCGUUUCUUCUCUAGUCUGAGCCUAGCACACUACUCUAGCUAGACAUUGGUGUGGCUCGUAACACCUGAUGACCAAACGGAUCUACGGCACCGUCAAAUCUCAAACUUUAACUGCCAAAACUAUUGUUUUUCAUCCUGUAGUCCCUUUUAGAAUUACUAAACGUCCUUUUUUGGGCCGAUAUUUCCAGGAACGCUUUCUUGGGGUUUGUGUGCAUGUAUUUCAAACCAUAUGGAACUAAAAAUUACAAGUCAUUCCAUCUUUAUUCCACUAGAGCCUUCCAGCAGUUCCUAAACCGCUCCAAUCGGAGCAUGUUAUCAUUCUUGUUAAUUCUGAGUGAAUUCCCUUGGUAUGAUCAUUCUUUCAUCAGUUUGUUCCCGAUUUCUUCUCCAGUCUGAGCCUAGCUCACUAUUCUAGCUAGACAUGGGUGUGGCUCAUAAUACCUGAUGACCAAACGGAUCUACGACACCAUCGAAUCUCAAACUUUAACUGCCAAAACUAUUGUUUUUCAUCUUGUAGUCCCUUUUAGAAUUACUAAAAGUCCUUUAUUGGGCCGAGAUUUCCAGGAACGCUUUAUCGGGGUUUGUGUGCUCGUAUUUCAGACCAUACGGACCUAAAAAUUAGAACUCAUUCCAUCUUUAUUCCCCUAGAGCCUUCCAGCAGCUCCUAAACCGCUCCAGUCGGAGCACGUUAUCAUUCUUGUUAGUUCUGAGCAAAUUCCCUCGUUAUGAUCAUUCUUUCAUCAGUUUGUUCCCCGUUCCUUCUCUGGUCUGAGCCUAGCACACUAUUCUAGCUAUUAAUGGGUGUGGAUCGUAACACUUGAUGAUCAAACAGAUCUACGGCACCAUCGAUUCUCAAACUUUAACUGCCAAAACUAUUGUUUUUCAUCCCGUAGUCCCUUUUAGAAUUAUUAAACGUCCUUUUUUGGGCCGAGAUUUCUAGGAACGCUGCCUCGGGGUUUUUGUGCACGUAUUUCAAAUCAUACGGACCUGAAAAUUAGAAGUCAUUCCAUCUUUAUUCCCCUAGAGCCUUCCAGCAGUUCCUAAACCGCUCCAGUUGGACCACGUUAUCAUUCUUGUUAGUUCUGAGUGAAUUACCUUAGUAUGAUCAUUCUUUCAUCAGUUUGUUCCCUGUUUCUUCUAUAGUCUGAGCCUAGCACACUACUCUAGCUAGACAUGGGUGUGGCUCGUAACACCUGAUGACCAAACAGAUCUACGACACCGUCGAAUCUCAAACUUUAACUGCCAAAACUAUUGUUUUUCAUCCUGUAGACCCUUUUAGAAUUACUAAACGUCCUUUUUUGGGCUGAGAUUUCCAGGAACGCUUUCACGGGGUUUGUGUGCACGUAUUUUAAACCAUAUGGACCUAAAAAUUAGAAGUCAUUCCAUCUUUAUUCCCAGAGAGCCUAACACACUAUUCUAGCUAGAUAUGGGUGUGGCUCGUAACACCUGAUGACCAAACGGAUCUACGGCACCAUCGAAUCUCAAACUUUAACUGCCAAAACUAUUGUAUUUCAUCAUGUAGUCCCUUUUAGAAUUAUUAAACGUCCUUUUUUAGGGCCGUGAUUUCCAUGAACGCUUUCUUGGGGUUUCUGUGCAUGUAUUUCAAAUCAUACGGACCUAAAAAUUAGAAGUCAUUCCAUCUUUAUUCCCCUAGAGCCUUCCAGCAGUUCCUAAACCGCUUCAGUCGGAGCACGUUAUCAUUCUUGUUAGUUCUGAGUGAAUUCCCUUGGUAUGAUCAUUCUUUCAUCAGUUUGUUCCCCGUUUCUUCUCUAGUCUGAGCCUAGCACACUAUUCUAGCUAGACAUGGGUGUGGCUCAUAACACCUUAUGACCAAACGGAUCUACGGCACCAUCGAAUCUCAAACUUUAACUGCCAAAACUAUUGUUUUUCAUCCUGUAGUCCCUUUUAGAAUUACUAAACGUCCUUUUUUGGGCAGAUAUUUCCAGGAACGCUUUAUCGAGGUUUGUGUGCUCGUAUUUCAGACCAUACGGACCUAAAAAUUAGAACUCAUUCCAUCUUUAUUCCCCUAUAGCCUUCCAGCAAUUCUGAAACCACUCCAGUCGGAGCACGUUAUCAUUCUUGUUAGUUCUAAAAGAAUUCCCUCGGUAUGAUCAUUCUUUCAUCAGUUUAUUUCCCGUUUCUUCUCUAGUCUAAGCCUAGCACACUAGUCUAGCUAGACAUGGGUGUGGCUCGUAACACCUGAUGACCAAACGGAUCUACGGCACCGUCAAAUCUCAAACUUUAACUGCCANNNNNNNNNNNNNNNNNNNNNNNNNNNNNNNNNNNNNNNNNNNNNNNNNNNNNNNNNNNNNNNNNNNNNNNNNNNNNNNNNNNNNNNNNNNNNNNNNNNNNNNNNNNNNNNNNNNNNNNNNNNNNNNNNNNNNNNNNNNNNNNNNNNNNNNNNNNNNNNNNNNNNNNNNNNNNNNNNNNNNNNNNNNNNNNNNNNNNNNNNNNNNNNNNNNNNNNNNNNNNNNNNNNNNNNNNNNNNNNNNNNNNNNNNNNNNNNNNNNNNNNNNNNNNNNNNNNNNNNNNNNNNNNNNNNNNNNNNNNNNNNNNNNNNNNNNNNNNNNNNNNNNNNNNNNNNNNNNNNNNNNNNNNNNNNNNNNNNNNNNNNNNNNNNNNNNNNNNNNNNNNNNNNNNNNNNNNNNNNNNNNNNNNNNNNNNNNNNNNNNNNNNNNNNNNNNNNNNNNNNNNNNNNNNNNNNNNNNNNNNNNNNNNNNNNNNNNNNNNNNNNNNNNNNNNNNNNNNNNNNNNNNNNNNNNNNNNNNNNNNNNNNNNNNNNNNNNNNNNNNNNNNNNNNNNNNNNNNNNNNNNNNNNNNNNNNNNNNNNNNNNNNNNNNNNNNNNNNNNNNNNNNNNNNNNNNNNNNNNNNNNNNUCAUCAGUUUGUUCCCCAUUUCUUCUCUAGUCUGAGCCUAGCUCACUAUUCUAGCUAGACAUGGGUGUGGCUCGUAAUACCUGAUGACCAAAUGGAUCUACGGCACCAUCGAAUCUCAAACUUUUACUGCCAAAACUAUUGUUUUUCAUCCUGUAGUCCCUUUUAGAAUUACUAAACGUCCUUUUUUGGGCCGAGAUUUCCAGGAACGCUUUCUUGGGGUUUGUGUGCACGUAUUUGAAACCAAGCGUUCCUAAAAAUUAGAAGUCAUUCCAUCUUUAUUCCCCUAGAGCCUUACAGCAGUUCCUAAACUGCUCCAGUCGGCGCACGUUAUCAUUCUUGUUAGUUCUGAGUGAAUUCCCUCGGUAUGAUCAUUCUUUCAUCAGUUUGUUCCCCGUUUCUUCUCUAGUCUGAGCCUACCACACUAUUCUAGCUAGACAUGGGUGUGGCUCAUAACACCUUAUGACCAAACGGAUCUACGGCACCAUCGAAUCUCAAACUUUAACUGCCAAAACUAUUGUUUUUCAUCCUGUAGUCCUUUUUACAAUUACUAAACGUCCUUUUUUGGGCAGAUAUUUCCAGGAAUGCUUUAUCGGGGUUUGUGUGCACGUAUUUCAGACCAUACGGACCUAAAAAUUAGAAGUCAUUCCAUCUUUAUUUUCCUAUAGCCUUCCAGCAGUUCCUAAACCACUCCAGUCGGAGCACGUUAUCAUUCUUGUUAGUUCUGAGCGAAUUCCCUCGGUAUGAUCAUUCUUUCAUCAGUUUAUUCCCCGUUUCUUCUCUAGUCUAAGCCUAGCACACUAGUCUAGCUAGACAUGGGUGUGGCUCGUAACACCUGAUGACCAAACGGAUCUACGGCACCGUCAAAUCUCAAACUUUAACUGCCAAAACUAUUGUUUUUCAUCCUGUAGUCCCUUUUAGAAUAACUAAACGUCCUUUUUUGGGCCGAGAUUUUCGGGAACACUUUCUCGGGGUUUGUGUGCAUGUAUUUCAAACCAUAUGGACCUAAAAAUUAGAAGUCAUUCCAUCUUUAUUCCCCUAGAGCCUUCCAGCAGUUCCUAAACCGCUCCAGUCGGAGCAUGUUAUCAUUCUUGUUAGUUCUGAGUGAAUUCCCUCGGUACGAUCAUUCUUUCAUCAGUUUGUUCCCCAUUUCUUCUCUAGUCUGAGCCUAGCUCACUAUUCUAGCUAGACAUGGGUGUGGCUCAUAAUACCUGAUGACCAAACGGAUCUACGGCACUAUCGAAUCUCAAACUUUAACUGCCAAAACUAUUGUUUUUCAUCCUGUAGUCCCUUUUAGAAUUACUAAACGUCCUUUUUUGGGCCGAGAUUUCCAGGAACGCUUUCUUGGGGUUUGUGUGCACGUAUUUCAAACCAAGCGUUCCUAAAAAUUAGAAGUCAUUCCAUCUUUAUUCCCCUAGAGCCUUACAGCAGUUCCUAAACUGCUCCAGUCGGCGCACGUUAUCAUUCUUGUUAGUUCUGAGCGAAUUCCCUCGGUAUGAUCAUUCUUUCAUCAGUUUGUUCCCCAGUUCUUCUCUAGUUUGAGCCUAGCACACUAUUCUAGCUAGACAUGGGUGUGGGUCAUAACACCUGAUGACCAAACAGAUCGACGGCACCAUCGACUCUCAAACUUUAACUGCCAAAACUAUUGUUUUUCAUCCUGUAGUCCCUUUUAGAAUUACUAAACGUCCUUUUUUGGGCUGAGAUUUCCAAGAACGCUUUCUCGUGGUUUGUGUGCAUGUAUUUCAAACCAAACAUUCCUAAAAAUUAGAAGUCAUUCCAUCUUUAUUCCCCUAGAGCCUUCCAGUAGUUCCUAAACAGCUCCAGUCGGAGCACGUUAUCAUUCUUGUUAGUUCUGAGCGAAUUCCCUCGGUAUGAUCAUUCUUUCAUCAGUUUGUUCCCUGUUUCUUCUCUAGUAUGAGCCUCGCACACUAUUCUAGCUAUUAAUGGGUGUGGAUCGUAACACCUGAUGACCAAACGGAUCUACGGCACCAUCGAAUCUCAAACUUUAACUGCCAAAACUAUUGUUUUUCAUUCUGUAGUCCCUUUUAAAUUACUAAACGUCAUUUUUGGGCUGAGAUAUCCAGGAACGCUUUCUCGGGGUUUGUGUGCACGUAUUUCAAAUCAUACGGACCUAAAAAUUCGAAGUCAUUCCAUCUUUAUUCCCCUAGAGCCUUCCAGCAGUUCCUAAACCACUCCAGUCGGAACACGUUGUCAUUAUUGUUAGUUCUGAGUGAAUUCCCUCGGUAUGAUCAUUCUUUCAUCAGUUUUUUCCCCGUUUCGCCUAUCACACUAUUCUAGCUAGACAUGGGUGUGGCUCGUAACACCUGAUGACCAAACGGAUCUACGGCACCGUCGAAUCUCAAACUUUAACUGCCAAAACUAUUGUUUUUCAUCCUGUUGUCCCUUUAGAAUUACUAAAUGUCCUUUUUUGGGCCGAGAUUUCCAGGAACGCUUUCUCGGGGUUUGUGUGCAUGUAUUUCAAACCAUACGAACCUAAAAAUUAGGUCAUUCCAUCUUUAUUCCCCUAGAGCCUUCCAGCAGUUCCUAAACCGCUGCAGUCGGAGCACGUUAUCAUUCUUGUUUGUUCUGAGCGAAUUCCCUCAGUAUGAUCAUUCUUUCAUCAUUUUGUUCCCCGUUUCUUCUCUAGUCUAAGCCUAGCACACUAUUCUAGCUAGACAUGGGUGUGGCUCGUAACACCUGAUGACCAAACGGAUCUACGGCACCGUCGAAUCUCAAACUUUAACUGCCAAAACUAUUGUUUUUCAUCCUAUAGUCCCUUUUAAAUUUACUAAACGUCCUUUUUUGGGCUGAGAUUUCCAGGAACGCUUUCGUGCGGUUUGUGUGCAACUAUUUCAAAUCAUACAGACCUAUAAAUUAGAAGUCAUUUCAUCUUUAUUCCCCUAGAGCCUUCGAGCGGUUCCUAAACCACUCCAGUCGGAGCAUGUUAUCAUUCUUGUUAGUUCUGAGUGAAUUCCCUCGGUAUGAUCAUUCUUUCAUCAGUUUGUUCCCCAUUUCUUCUCUAGUCUGAGCCUAGCACACUACUCUAGCUAGACAUGGGUUUGGCUCGUAACACCUGAUAACCAAACGGGUCUACGACACCAUCGAAUCUCAAACUUUUUUGGGCCGAGAUUUCCAGGAACGCUUUCUCGGGGUUUGCGUGCACGUAUUUCAAGUCACGCGGACCUAAAAAUUAGAAGUCAUUCCAUAUUUAUUCCCCUAGAGCCUUCCAGCAGUUCCCAAACCGCUCCAGUCGGAGCAUGUUAUCAUUCUUGUUAGUUCUGAGCGAAUUCCCUCGGUAUGAUCAUUCUUUCAUCAGUUUGUUCCCUGUUUCUUCUCUAGACUGAGCCUGACACACUAUUCUAGCUAGACAUGGGUGUGGCUCGUGACACCUGAUGACCAAAUGGAUCUACGGCACCGUCGAAUCUCAAACUUUAACUGCCAAAACUAUUGUUUUUCAUCCUGUAGUCCCUUUUAGAAUUACGAAACGUCCUUUUUUGGGCCAAGAUUUCGAGGAAUGCUUUCUCGGGGUUUGUGUGCACGUAUUUCAAACCAUACGGACCUAAAAAUUAGAAGUCAUUCCAUCUUUAUUCCCCUAGAGCCUUCCAGCAGUUCCUAAACUGCUCUAUUUGGAGCAUGUUAUCAUUCUUGUUAGUUCUGAGUGAAUUCCCUCGGUAUGAUCAUUCUUUCAUCAGUUUGUUCCCCGUUUCUUCUCUAGUCUGAGCCUAGCACACUAUUCUAGCUAUUAAUGGGUGUGGAUCGUAACACCUGAUGACCAAACGGAUCUACGGCACCAUCGAAUCUCAAACUUUAACUGCCAAAACUAUUGUUUUUCAUUCUGUAGUCCCUUUUCGAAUUAUUAAACGUCCUUUUUUGGGUCGAGAUUUCCAGGAACGCUUUCUUGGGGUUUGUGUGCAUGUAUUUCAAAUCAUACGGACCUAAAAAUUAGAAGGCAUUCCAUCUUUAUUCCCCUAGAGCCUUCCAGCAGUUCCUAAACCGCUCCAGUCGGAGCAUGUUAUCAUUCUUGUUAGUUUUGAGCGAAUUCCCUCGGUAUGAUCAUUCUAUCAUCUGUUUGUUCCCUGUUUCUUCGCUAGCCUAAGCCUGACACACUAUUCUAGCUAGACAUGGGUGUGGCUCGUGACACCUAAUGACCAAACGGAUCUACGGCACCCUCGAAUCUCAAACUUUAACUACCAAAACUAUUGUUUUUCAUUCUGUAGUCCCUUUUAGAUUACUAAACAUCCUUUUUUGGGCUGAGAUUUCCAGGAACGCUUUCUCGAGGUUUGUGUGCAUGUAUUUCAAACCAAACGUUCCUAAAAUUAGAAGUCAUUCCAUCUUUAUUCCCCUAGAGCCUUCUAGCAGUUCCUAAACAGCUCUAGUCGGAGCAUGUUAUCAUUCUUGUUAAUUCUGAGCGAAUUCCCUCCGUAUGAUCAUUCUUUCAUCAGUUUGUUCUCUGUUUCUGCUCUAGUCUGAGCCUAGCACACUAUUCUAGCUAUUAAUGGGUGUGUAUCGUAACACCUAAUGACCAAACGGAUCUACGACACCAUCGAAUCUCAAACUUUAACUGCCAAAACUAUUGUUUUUCAUCCUGUAGUCCCUUUUCGAAUUAUUAAACGUCCUUUUUUGGGCCGAGAUUUCCAGGAACGCUUUCUCGGGGUUUGUGUGGAUGUAUUUCAAAUCAUACGGACCUAAAAAUUAGAAGGCAUUCCAUCUUUAUUCCCCUAGAGCCUUCCAGCAGUUCCUAAACCGCUCCAGUCGGAGCAUGUUAUCAUUCUUGUUAGUUCUGAGCGAAUUCCCUCGGUAUGAUCAUUCUAUCAUCAGUUUGUUCCCUGUUUCUUCGCUAGCCUAAGCCUGACACACUAUUCUAGCUACACAUGGGUGUGGCUCGUGACACCUAAUGACCAAACAGAUCUACGGCACCGUCGAAUCUCAAACUUUAACUACCAAAACUAUUGUUUUUCAUUCUGUAGUCCCUUUUAAAUUACUAAACGUCAUUUUUUGGGCCGAGAUUUCUAGGAACGCUUUCUCAGGGUUUGUGUGCAUGUAUUUCAAGUCAUAUGGACCUAAAAAUUAGAAUCCAUUCCAUCUUUAUUCCCCUAGAGCCUUCCAGCAGUUCCUAAACCGCUCCAGUCGGAGCACAUUAUCAUUAUUGUUAGUUCUGAGUGAAUUCCCUCGGUAUGAUCAUUCUUUCAUCAGUUUGUUCCCCGUUUCUGCUCUAGUCUGAGCUUAACACACUAUUCUAGCUAGACAUGGGUGUGGCUCGUAACACCUGAUGACCAAACGGAUCUACGAUACCGUCGAAUCUCAAACUUUAACUACGAAAACUAUUGUUUUUCAUUCUAUAGUCCCUUUUAGAAUUACUAAACGUCCUUUUUUGGGCCGAGAUUUCCAGGAACGCUUUCUCGGGGUUUGUGUGCACGUAUUUCAAACAAUACGGACCUAAAAAUUAGAAUUCAUUCCAUCUUUAUUCCCCUAGAGCCUUCCGGCAGUUCCUAAACCGCUCAAGUCGGAGCACUUUAUCAUUCUUGUUAGUUCUCAGCGAAUUCCCUCGGUAUGAUCAUUCUUUCAUCAGUUUGUUCCCCAUUUCUUCUCUAGCCUGAGCCUAACACACUAUUCUAGCUACAAAUGGGUGUGGCUCGUCACACCCGAUGACCAAACGGAUCUACGGCACCGUUGAAUCUCAAACUUUAACUGCGAAAACUAUUGUUUUUCAUCCUGUAGUCCUUUUUAGAAUUACUAAACGUCCUUUUUUGGGACGAGAUUUCCGGGAACGCUUUCUCGAGGUUUGUGUGCGCGUAUUUCAAACCAUACGAACCUUAAAAUUAGAAUUCAUUCCAUCUUUAUUCCCCUAGAGCCUUCCAGCAGUUCCUAAACCGCUCCAGUCGGAGCACGUUAUCAUUCUUGUUAGUUCUGAGCGAAUUCCCUCGGUAUGAUCAUUCUUUCAUCAGUUUGUUCCUUGUUGCUUCUCUAGCCUGAGCCUGAUACACUAUUCUAGCUAGACAUGGGUGUGGCUCGUGACACCUGAUAACCAAACGGAUCUACAGCACCGUCGAAUCUCAAACUUUAACUACCAAAACUAUUGUUUUCAUUCUGUAGUCCCUUUUAAAUUACUAAACGUCAUUUUUUCGGCCGAGAUUUCCAGGAACGCUUUCUUGGGGUUUGUGUGCAUGUAUUUCAAAUCAUAAGGACCUAAAAAUUAGAAUCCAUUCCAUCUUUAUUUCCCUAGAGCCUUCCAGCAGUUCCUAAACCGCUCCAGUCAGAGCAUGUUAUCAUUAUUGUUAGUUCUGAGUGAAUUCCCUCGGUAUGAUCAUUAUUUCAUCAGUUUGUUCCCCGUUUCUUCUCUAGUCUGAGCCUAACACACUAUUCUAGCUAGACAUGGGUGUGGCUCGUAACACCCGAUGACCAAACGGAUCUACGGCACCGUCGAAUCUCAAACUUUAACUGCGAAAACUAUUGUUUUUCAUCCUUUAGUCCUUUUUAGAAUUACUAAACGUCCUUUUUUGGGACGAGAUUUCCAGGAACGCUUUCUCGGGGUUUGUGUGCGCGUAUUUAAAACCAUACGAACCUUAAAAUUAGAAUUCAUUCCAUCUUUAUUCCCCUAGAGCCUUCCAGUAGUUCCUAAACCGCUCCAGUCGGAGCACCUUAUCAUUCUUGUUAGUUCUGAGCAAAUUCCCUCGGUAUGAUCAUUCUUUCAUCAGUUUGAUCCCCGUUUCUUCUCUAGUCUGAGCCUAGCACACUAUUCUAGCUAUUAAUGGGUGUGGAUCGUAACACCUAAUGACCAAACGGAUCUACGUCACCAUCGAAUCUCAAACUUUAACUACCAAAACUAUUGUUUUUCAUCCUGUAGUCCCUUAAAAUUAGAAUUCAUUCCAUCUUUAUUCCCCUAGAGCCUUCCAGUAGUUCCUAAACCGCUCCAGUCGGAGCACAUUAUCAUUCUUGUUUGUUCUAAGCGAAUUCCCUCAGUAUGAUCAUUCUUUCAUCAUUUUGUUCCCGGUUUCUUCUCUAGUCUGAGUCUAGCACACUAUUCUAGCUAGACAUGGGUGUGGCUCGUAACACCUGAUGACCAAACGGAUCUACGGCAUCGUCGAAUCUCAAACUUUAAUUGCCAAAACUAUUGUUUUUCAUCCUGUAGUCUCUUUUAAAUUUACUAAACGUCCUUUUUUGGGCUGAGAUUUCCUGGAACGCUUUCGUGCGGUUUGUGUGCAAGUAUUUCAAAUCAUACGGACCUAUAAAUUAGAAGUCAUUUCAUCUUUAUUCCCCUAGAGCCUUUGAGCGGUUCCUAAACCGCUCUAGUCGGAGCAUGUUAUCAUUCUUGUUAGUUCUGAGUGAAUUCCCUCGGUAUGAUAAUUCUUUCAUCAGUUUGUUCCCCGUUUCUUCUCUAGUCUGAGCCUAGCACACUACUCUAGCUAGACAUGGGUUUGGCUCGUAACACCUGAUAACCAAACGGGUCUACGACACCAUCGAAUCUCAAACUUUUUUGGGCCGAGAUUUCCAGGAACGCUUUCUCGGGGUUUGUGUGCACGUAUUUCAAAUCAUGCGGACCUAAAAAUUAGAAGUCAUUCCAUAUUUAUUCCCCUAGAGCCUUCCAGCAGUUCCUAAACCGCUCCAGUCCGAGCAUGUUAUCAUUCUUGUUAGUUCUCAGGGAAUUCCCUCGGUAUGAUCAUUCUUUCAUCAGUUUGUUCCCCGUUUUUUCUCUAGCCUGAGCCUAACACACUAUUCUAGCUACACAUGGGUGUCGCUCGUAACACCUGAUGACCGAACAGAUCUACGGCACCAUCGAAUCUCAAACUUUAACUGCCAAAACUAUUGUUUUUCAUCCUGUAGUCCCUUUUAGAAUUACUAAACGUCUUUUUUUGGGCCGAGAUUUCCAGGAACGCUUUCUCGGGGUUUGUGUGGACGUAUUUCAAACCAUACGGACCUAAAAAUUAGAAGUCAUUCCAUCUUUAUUCCCCUAGAGCUUUCCAGCAGUUGCUAAACUGCUCUAGUCGGAGCAUGUUAUCAUUCUUGUUAGUUCUGAGUGAAUUCCCUCGGUAUGAUCAUUCUUUCAUCAGUUUGUUCCCCGUUUCUUCUCUAGUCUGAGCCUAGCACACUAUUCUAGAUAGACAUGGGUGUGGGUCAUAACACCUAAUGACCAAACGGAUCUACGGCACCCUCGAAUCUCAAACUUUAACUGCCAAAACUAUUGUUUUUCAUCUUGUAGUCCCUUUUAGAAUUACUAAACGUCCUUUUUUGGGUCGAGAUUUCCAGGAACGCUUUCUCGGGAUUUGUGUGCAUGUAUUUCAAACCAAAUGUUCCUACAAAUUAGAAGUCAUUCCAUAUUUAUUCCCCUAGAGCCUGCCAGCAGUUCCUAAACACCUCUAGUCGGAGCACGUUAUCAUUCUUGUUAGUUCUGAGCGAAUUCCCUCGGUAUGAUCAUUCUUUCAUCAGUUUGUUCUGCGUUUCUUCUCUAGUCUGAGCCUAGCACAUUAUUCUAGCUAUUAAUGGGUGUGGAUCGUAACACCUAAUGACCAAACGGAUCUACGGCACCAUCGAAUCACAAACUUUAACUGCCAAAACUAUUGUUUUUCAUCCUGUAGUCCCUUUUUGAAUUAUUAAACGUCCUUUUUUGGGCCAAGAUUUCCAGG
rnacentral:lncRNA from 1 species